UCACUGAAUUUGAAUUCACCUUAACCAAUUCACUGAAAGUUCAAAUUAUUGAAAACUCAUUUCACUGAAUCUCAUUUCACUGAAGUGA